GACGAACGCUGGCGGCGUGCUUAACACAUGCAAGUCGAACGGAAAGGCCCUGCUUUUGUGGGGUGCUCGAGUGGCGAACGGGUGAGUAACACGUGAGUAACCUGCCCUUGACUUUGGGAUAACUUCAGGAAACUGGGGCUAAUACCGGAUAGGAGCUCCUGCUGCAUGGUGGGGGUUGGAAAGUUUCGGCGGUUGGGGAUGGACUCGCGGCUUAUCAGCUUGUUGGUGGGGUAGUGGCCUACCAAGGCUUUGACGGGUAGCCGGCCUGAGCGGGUGACCGGCCACAUUGGGACUGAGAUACGGCCCAGACUCCUACGGGAGGCAGCAGUGGGGAAUAUUGCACAAUGGGCGGAAGCCUGAUGCAGCAACGCCGCGUGCGGGAUGACGGCCUUCGGGUUGUAAACCGCUUUCGCCUGUGACGAAGCGUGAGUGACGGUAAUGGGUAAAGAAGCACCGGCUAACUACGUG
rnacentral:rRNA from 1 species